rnacentral:rRNA from 1 species
AUACGUAGGUGGCAAGCGUUGUCCGGAAUUAUUGGGCGUAAAGCGCGCGCAGGUGGUUCCUUAAGUCUGAUGUGAAAGCCCCCGGCUCAACCGGGGAGGGUCAUUGGAAACUGGGGAACUUGAGUGCAGAAGAGGAUAGUGGAAUUCCAAGUGUAGCGGUGAAAUGCGUAGAGAUUUGGAGGAACACCAGUGGCGAAGGCGACUGUCUGGUCUGUAACUGACACUGAGGCGUGAAAGCGUGGGGAGCAAACAGGAUUAGAUACCCUGGUAGUCCACGCCGUAAACGAUGAGUGCUAAGUGUUGGGGGGUUUCCGCCCCUCAGUGCUGCAGCUAACGCAUUAAGCACUCCGCCUGGGGAGUACGGUCGCAAGACUGAAACUUAAAUGAAUUGGCGGGG